rnacentral:rRNA from 1 species
AUUGAACGCUGGCGGCAGGCUUAACACAUGCAAGUCGAACGAGUGGCGGACGGGUGAGUAAUGCUUGGGAAUCUAGCUUAUGGAGGGGAUAAAUACCGGAAAAUGUUGCCAAAUCCCGCUAACAUUGGAAUAGGCCAAGUUGGGAUUAGGUAGUUGGUGGGGUAAAGGCUAACCAAGCCGACGAUCUCUAGCUGGUCUGAGAGGAUGACCAGCCACACUGGGACUGAGACACGGCCCAGACUCCUACGGGAGGCAGCAGUGGGGAAUAUUGCGCAAUGGGGGCAACCUGACGCAGCCAUGCCGCGUGAAUGAAGAAGGCCUUCGGGUUGUAAAGUUCUUUCGGUAGCGAGGCGUUAACUACAGAAGAAGCACCGGCUAACUCCGUGCCAGCAGCCGCGGUAAUAC